CCUACGGGAGGCAGCAGUGGGGAAUAUUGCGCAAUGGGCGAAAGCCUGACGCAGCAACGCCGCGUGGGUGAUGACGGUCUUCGGAUUGUAAAACCCUGUCUUCGGGGACGAUAAUGACGGUACCCGAGGAGGAAGCCACGGCUAACUACGUGCCAGCAGCCGCGGUAAUACGUAGGUGGCAAGCGUUGUCCGGAUUUACUGGGCGUAAAGGGUGCGUAGGCGGAUAUUUAAGUCAGAUGUGAAAUCCCCGGGCUCAACCUGGGAGCUGCAUUUGAUACUGGAUAUCUAGAGUGCAGGAGGGGAAAGUGGAAUUCCUAGUGUAGCGGUGAAAUGCGUAGAGAUUAGGAAGAACACCAGUGGCGAAGGCGACUUUCUGGACUGUAACUGACGCUGAGGCACGAAAGCGUGGGGAGCGAACAGGAUUAGAUACCCUGGUAGUCCACGCCGUAAACGAUGAGUACUAGGUGUCGGGGGUCGAACCUCGGUGCCGCAGUUAACACAUUAAGUACUCCGCCUGGGAAGUACGGUCGCAAGAUUAAAACUCAAACGAAUUGACGG
rnacentral:rRNA from 1 species